rnacentral:sRNA from 1 species
ACGAUUGUGGAAAUGAAUAAUCUGCAACACAGUGCUUUCACUGGAGGAAUUUGAUUUGCGGUUGCUGCAGUGGUGGUGAUGUGCCUGGAUCAAAGUGGAACAGCUGAAGCCAUAUCAUGCUCAUAAAGAGGAAAUGAUAAAAAUUAACAAGGGUAAACGAUUCCAGCAAGCGGUAGAUGCCGUCGAAGAGUUCCUCAGGAGAGCCAAAGGGAAAGACCAGACGUCAUCCCACAAUUCUUCUGAUGACAAGAAUCGACGUAAUUCCAGUGAGGAGAGAAGUAGGCCAAACUCAGGUGAUGAGAAGCGCAAACUUAGCCUGUCUGAAGGGAAGGUGAAGAAGAACAUGGGAGAAGGAAAGAAGAGGGUGUCUUCAGGCUCUUCAGAGAGAGGCUCCAAAUCCCCUCUGAAAAGAGCCCAAGAGCAAAGUCCCCGGAAGCGGGGUCGGCCCCCAAAGGAUGAGAAGGAUCUCACCAUCCCGGAGUCUAGUACCGUGAAGGGGAUGAUGGCUGGACCAAUGGCCGCGUUUAAAUGGCAGCCAACCGCAACCGAGCCUGUUAAGGAUGCAGAUCCUCAUUUCCAUCA